AUGAACGCUGGCGGCGUGCCUCAUACAUGCCAGUCGAGCGCACAGACGAGGAGCUUGCUCCUCUGACGUUAGCGGCGGACGGGUGAGUAACACGUGGAUAACCUACCUAUAAGACUGGGAUAACUUCGGGAAACCGGAGCUAAUACCGGAUAAUAUAUUGAACCGCAUGGUUCAAUAGUGAAAGACGGUUUUGCUGUCACUUAUAGAUGGAUCCGCGCCGCAUUAGCUAGUUGGUAAGGUAACGGCUUACCAAGGCAACGAUGCGUAGCCGACCUGAGAGGGUGAUCGGCCACACUGGAACUGAGACACGGUCCAGACUCCUACGGGAGGCAGCAGUAGGGAAUCUUCCGCAAUGGGCGAAAGCUUGACGGAGCAACGCCGCGUGAGUGAUGAAGGUCUUCGGAUCGUAAAACUCUGUUAUUAGGGAAGAACAAAUGUGUAAGUAACUAUGCACGUCUUGACGGUACCUAAUCAGAAAGCCACGGCUAACUACGUG
rnacentral:rRNA from 1 species